rnacentral:rRNA from 1 species
GACGAACGCUGGCGGCGUGCUUAACACAUGCAAGUCGAACGGACAGGCCCUGAUCUUGUGGGGUGCUCGAGAGGCGAACGGGUGAGUAACACGCGAGUAACCCGCCCUUGUCUUUCGGAUAUCAUCAGGAAAAUGGGGCUAUUACCGGAUAUGAGCUCCUGAUGCAUAGUGGGGGUUGGAAAGUGUCGGCGGUAGGGGAUGGACUCGCGGCUUACCAGCUUGUUGGUGGGGUAGGGGCUUUCAAGGGUUUUGACGGAUAGGCGGCCUGGGAGGGGGACCGGCCACAUUGGUACUAAGGGACGGCGCAGACUCCUACGGGAGGCAGCAGUGGGGAAUAUGGCAGAGUGGGCGGAAGCCUGAGGCAGCAACGCCGCGUUCGGGAUGACGGCCUACGAGUGGUAAACCGCUUUCGCCGGUGACAAAGCGUGAGUGACGGUAAUGGGUAAAGAAGCACCGGCUAACUACGUG